AUGACGAUAGUUGUGCCCAGGAGAUCGGCGGUAUAUCUCUUUCUCUCCCUCUCGCUCCCUGGCCUGAUAUCCCAGAAGGGGCAGAGAAAGCAGAGAACAAAAAGCAACG
rnacentral:miRNA from 1 species